UCACUGCUGCUAGCACUGCCCAUGUGCAGGUUGAGUGUUCUGCACUCAUAUCCUGGGCUUUUCUUGCCACCCUGCAGCCUUGCUUCAGGGCACUGGAAACAAUUGCACCCAAACUUUUGGAGCAAGCCUUUUGCUCUCCCUAUGCUGCCAGCAUCUUAUCCCAUAGUGGCUUCGGCUGUCACUACAGCACCCCUUCCUUCUCCACCAGGCACUGCUUGGUUCAAAUUAACUCUGCCAGCAAUGCUCUGCUCUGUUUUCUUCUGGUUUCAACAACCUCAGGGCUGCUCAGCUCUUGUGUGGCCAUUUCCCCUCUGCGCCUUUGGGAUAGAUGGAAUGAAGAUUGGUCCGAGGCAAAGCUGGCAGCCUGGGAGAUCGGUUUUGGAGCCGAGAGGGAUGAGCAUCCCCUUGUGAAGCUCUGCAAGGCCUCAGCUUCUCACUGCUGGAAACCCUGCUUUUUCCACCCCUCCUCCUUUGUGGGAAGUGACCAAGGUACGGUUUUCCAGUCUGGAGCCUCUUAUCUACAUGCAGAUGGUUUUGAUUUGCCACCCUUUCUAUAUACAUUCAAGCCAAAGAAAUGUGUUUUCAGCAGAGGUUCCGUGCUGUGCUUUGCUUAGCGACGUGUCUGACUUUGAGGUGGCACCAGGUCCCCGUGCAGGGAGCACACAGCUCUGCCAGCUCAGCCUCCAGUUGUAGAGAUGCAUUCACCGAGGGCUCCAGCAUCUCUUUAAGCCAAACACUGCAAAAAGAGCCUGUGCAGUGCUCUUCCCCCUGUUUGGCACUGGGUAGCCAAGGACAGAAGUCUAAAAGGAGGCAGGUUAUUCUCCAAAUGUACCACAAAACAACAGCAACAACAAAGAGGUGGCCGUGACCUGGAGAAGCCAAAAACCUGCUCCUGUCCUCCCCUGAGACACUCUUGAUGUGCAGCUGGGAGUUCUCUAAAGGAUUUCACAGCAGCUGAGCUCAUGCAAAAUGGUAUUUUUUGCUUUGCCCUUUGCAUGCCUUCCUUGUCCUUGUCCCUCUAGUUUCCCUCCCGCGCUCCAGAAGAAGAGAACGAUGGCAGACAUGCCAGCUUUGAAAGCACUGAGUGCUUCACUGAAGGCAGCUCAUUACAACGUGUUCUCACCGAUGUCUGCUGCCCCUUAUCAGCCCAUCAGCCUGAGCACAUCACCCUCCGGCUGCCACCAGACACCACUCGUCCCUGGCGGCCGAGCCCUGGCUGCAGCCUGACUCACUGCGUGGGAGACAGUAAUUAUUCUGUCCGUGGCAAAUUGGACCAGUAAUAACCUUUUUCU